CGGGUGAGUAACACGUGGAUAACCUACCUAUAAGACUGGGAUAACUUCGGGAAACCGGAGCUAAUACCGGAUAAUAUAUUGAACCGCAUGGUUCAAUAGUGAAAGACGGUUUUGCUGUCACUUAUAGAUGGAUCCGCGCCGCAUUAGCUAGUUGGUAAGGUAACGGCUCACCAAGGCAACGAUGCGUAGCCGACCUGAGAGGGUGAUCGGCCACACUGGAACUGAGACACUGUCCAG
rnacentral:rRNA from 1 species